CCCGCCCGAGCCGGGCGGAGCGGAGCGCGCGGAGCCUAGACCCGCUGCCGGGCCGGGGCUGGGCCGGAGCGGCGGCGCCUGGAUGCCGGCCCGGGGCUGGGCCGGAGACUGGCGCCCGCCCCGAAGCGACUUUCGGUCCCCGACCCGCUCCGCCUGACCCCUAUGAUGAAGAGGGCGUCCACUGGAGAAGGCCCCCUGGUAAGGCCAGCCAGCCGGAGGACCACCCCGCAGACCACACGCCCAGGGCCUGGCACCGAGGGGGAGGCCCCGAUCAGCAGGUGAAAGCGACACCCUGAUGACACUGGCUAGUUCACCUUCACUCUGGUCAUCGUUUACUGUACCCCGGGGCAGCUCCCGCCUGAGCCCUAUGACCCCAACCGCCGCAGCCUCUGGCUGCCUCACUGGCCCAUCAUUAAUACGUCGAUGGUGAGCGCACUGGUGUACAGCGAGGGGGCUCCACUUCCGAGACCCCUGGAGAGGCCCGUCCUGGUGGAGUUCACCCUGCUGGAGAUGGAGAAGCGAACCAAGCCUGUCUGUGUGUUCUGGAACCAUUCCCUGGCGUAAAUGUGAUGCCGGGAGUUCUGCAUCUUCAUGUGAGGGCUUUGCCAAGACACAGAGAACCCGCAGGGUUGUUGGCUCAGCGGCAGAUCGUCCCACGGGGACAGUCUCUUGUGGUCUGUGUCUCCCCCUUCAGCCCCCUGUGGGGCAGUGAGCCUCCUGCUCUGCUUCUGUGGGUGCAUCAGAGCCCCCCCAGAUGCCCACACGCAGACGCGCACAGGCCUGCACGUGGAAACACAGACAUGCGCACACGCAGGCCCACACACAGACGCACACAGAGCUGCACGUGGAGACACGUGCGCACACGCAGGCCCACACGCAGGCCCACACACAGGUGCACGCGGACCUGCACGUGGAGACACAGAUGUGUGCACAUGCAGGCCCACACACAGGUGAGCGUGGACCUGUGUGAACAGAUGCGCGCAGACCUGCACGUGGAGACACAGACAUGCAGGCGCACAAAGAGAUCCCUCAAGGCUGACACCCAGGAAGGGGCCUCUCACUUGUGGGACUCCCGAGAUGCAGUGGCCAACACGAGUGUAGUGCCCAGUUCACUGCUGGAUAAGACAGAGGCCUGUUCUGGUCACACAUGGGAGGCAGAACCCAGAGACUGGGCCCAGGAGCCCUUCUGCUGACAGUGGGAACUCCCAGCUACGUGUGGGGGUCCCCAUACCAGACAAAGGUCCCUGACCUUAGUCUUGCCCGAGAGGCCGACACAGCCCAGCUUUGGGGUCUGGCUUUACCCACAAGAGGCCACACCUUGCCACAGCACUGUUUAUCUGGCCUGUUUCAGAAGCACCGUCAGAGUGGCGAAGGCAGGAGGUGGUGCACGAGAGUCUACGUUCUAGCAUCCAUUCAAUGUCAGUGGGACGGGAGGGUGGUCUGCCCGGGGCUUCAAGCUCCUGUCCAGGAACCGGACCCAUGUCGUACGCCAGUGCAGCCACACGGCCAGCUUCGAGGUGCUCAUGGACGUCUCCAGGUGUGAGAUGGGCAUCUUCUUGUGGCCACUAUGCCCGCUGAGCCUACCCCCAAACCUGCCCCUCCUCAAACUAAAUCUUCCAUUCUAAGCGCUUUGAACGAAGCAAAUCAAC
rnacentral:lncRNA from 1 species